CCGUCAGGGAGUCGGUGGCCAGCGGGCGCCUGAGCGGCGUCGGGCCCGUGCCCGGCGGGCCAGUGAUUGUAGCUUCGCUAGGGGGGUGGACCCAAACGAAGGUUCAAAGACAACCGGGAGGACCCACGUCACACCUGCCAGCCGGUGCGGCACCCCGACGACGACUCUCGCGUGGUCGCGACCGUCCGGCUCUCUGCCACACACAAACCACUCUGCGUACCUUUCCACGUUGCUUCCCCGUCCCGUCCACGGAGCGGGGGAGGUCCAACCCACGAAACCCUUGAUCUAGAACCGUCCGUCAGAAGUAAAAGCUGUUUUACAAAAACUUUCAACAACGGAUCUCUUGGUUCCCACAUCGAUGAAGAACGCAGCGAAAUGCGAUAAGUAAUGUGAAUUGCAGAAUCCAGUGAAUCAUCGAAUCUUUGAACGCACAUUGCGCCCUCUGGCAUUCCGGGGGGCAUGCCUGUCCGAGUGUCAUCAAACACCCUCCCCCGAGACCUUCUCAUAGCGCGUUGGCAAGGGGGGUAUUGGCCGUCCGGCUUUCCGCGGGUCCGCUUCGGCGGCCCGACCGGGCCCGGCUCAAAUUCCAGGUCUGUAGGCAGGAGUGUGCUGUCGGUCGACGUAAUGGUAACACGUAACGCCUUCCCAGCCCCAGAGUCCUUCAGAACCACAAACGGCGUGCCUCGCGCGGCGACGCCACGCCAGCAGUUUGACCUCGGAUCAGGUAGGGAUACCCGCUGAACUUAAGCAUAUCAAUAAGCGGAGGAAAAGAAACCAACAGGGAUUGCCUCAGUAACGGCGAGUGAAGCGGCAACAGCUCAAAUUUUAAAGCUGGCGUCCUCGACGUCCGCGUUGUAAUUUGGAGAGGCACCUUCGGGUUUGGGCGCCGGCUUAUGUUCCUUGGAACAGGACGUCACAGAGGGUGAGAAUCCCGUGCCGUCGGCUGUCCCAUUCCACGUGAAGUGUCUUCGACGAGUCGAGUUGUUUGGGAAUGCAGCUCAAAAUGGGUGGUAAAUUUCAUCUAAAGCUAAAUAUUGGUGGGAGACCGAUAGCGCACAAG
rnacentral:rRNA from 1 species